CGUGCCAGCCGCCGCGGUAAUACCAGCACCUCGAGUGGUCAGGACGUUUAUUGGGCCUAAAGCAUCCGUAGCCGGCUUUGCAAGUCUUCGGUUAAAUCCACCUGCUCAACAGAUGGGCCGCUGGAGAUACUACAGAGCUAGGGAGUGGGAGAGGCAGACGGUAUUCAGUGGGUAGGGGUAAAAUCCUCUGAUCCAUUGAGGACCACCAGUGGCGAAGGCGGUCUGCCAGAACACGUUCGACGGUGAGGGAUGAAAGCUGGGGGAGCAAACCGGAUUAGAUACCCCAGUAGUCCC
rnacentral:rRNA from 1 species